UUGGGAGGCAUGUUUUGUUUAUAGACGUCUAGACGAGAAGCGCGUGAAUAAAAAAGUGUUUGUUUGUAGUUGGAAGACAGAAAGUGUGGAAUAGGUGUUUCAUAGAAACUGUGCUUCAUAAAUGGCUGUGCAAUGCCACUAUUUUCAAAUAAAUUUUCACCCAGAAAACCGACACCACGAAAAGCCAUUGCAACUAUUGGACAGGAAAGGCCCACUGAGGAUCUCGGGUUGGAAGUUGGAGAAAUUAGGAUAAGAUUGGGAGAACAAGAAGCUGUAUUCGACAAGGGAGAAUGGCUACCAGAGACUGGCCCAACAAGUGGAAUUCACAAAGAAAACAAGAAAUUGAGGAAAAGGCUACAAGAUCUUGAGAAUGAGAACAAUUUGCUUAAACUGAAAUUUGAAAUUCUUCUUGACAUGAACACCACCAUGACUAACAAGGUCACGUGAUGUCUCCCCAGUUGAGAAAAUUUGGAGCAUUAUGGGCAGGGCCCCCCGAACCAGCUAACACAAACAACUGCUGAAGCUCAUCUCAAAGAAAAACAGAUGGAGAAACUGCAGUCAGCUGUGAAACACUUAAAACGGAGAAAUUGAGAACUAUUAUUUCUGCCGUCAGAUGAUUCUUGCUCUACAGAAAUAAGUUAUCACCAGCAGGUCUGAAAGACAUCAUGGUGUGAUAAAUAAUUCAUGAACGGAGACACUGCAACUAAGUGUAGUGGUUAUUGUUAAGGAGAACUGAUGUUUUGUUCCACAGCUCAGACAAUGAAACACUUAAUCAGUGUGUAGAAGGUUGUCUGUAUAGAAGCUAAUUGCUGUAAAACUGAAGCCUUCAGAAAUUUUUACGGAAUACACUCUUUGUGGAUUUUUGUCAUACUGUUUAAGAAGGCUGCCUGAUAGUGUUUAGCGUGAGUGAAAAAUAAA